GACGAACGCUGGCGGCGUGCUUAACACAUGCAAGUCGAACGGAAAGGCCCUGCUUUUGUGGGGUGCUCGAGUGGCGAACGGGUGAGUAACACGUGAGUAACCUGCCCUUGACUUUGGGAUAACUUCAGGAAACUGGGGCUAAUACCGGAUAGGAGCCCCUGCUGCAUGGUGGGGGUUGGAAAGUUUCGGCGGUUGGGGAUGGACUCGCGGCUUAUCAGCUUGUUGGUGGGGUAGUGGCUUACCAAGGCUUUGACGGGUAGCCGGCCUGAGAGGGUGACCGGCCACAUUGGGACUGAGAUACGGCCCAGACUCCUACGGGAGGCAGCAGUGGGGAAUAUUGCACAAUGGGCGGAAGCCUGAUGCAGCAACGCCGCGUGCGGGAUGACGGCCUUCGGGUUGUAAACCGCUUUCGCCUGUGACGAAGCGUGAGUGACGGGAAUGGGUAAAGAAGCACCGGCUAACUACGU
rnacentral:rRNA from 1 species